rnacentral:rRNA from 1 species
UCGAUUAGAGUUUGAUCCUGGCUCAGAACGAACGCUGGCGGCGUGCUUAACACAUGCAAGUCGAACGAGAAAUCGGGCACUCAGGCAACUGAGUGCCGGAGAGUAAAGUGGCGCACGGGUGAGUAACACGUGGGUAACCUACCCUCGAGUCUGGGAUAACUUCGCGAAAGCGUUGCUAAUACCGGAUAUUGUCCUAUUGGUUGUGACCUUUGGGAUGAAAGGCAACCUCUUCAUGAAAGUUGUCGUUCAGGGAUGGGCCCGCGUACCAUUAGCUUGUUGGUGGGGUAACGGCUCACCAAGGCUACGAUGGUUAGCUGGUCUGAGAGGAUGAUCAGCCACACUGGAACUGAAACACGGUCCAGACUCCUACGGGAGGCAGCAGUGAGGAAUUUUGCGCAAUGGGGGAAACCCUGACGCAGCAACGCCGCGUGAGUGAAGAAGGCUUUCGGGUCGUAAAGCUCUGUCAAGUGGGAAAAAAAUCUGAUGAUUAAUAGUUGUCAGA